AACGCUAGCUACAGGCUUAACACAUGCAAGUCGAGGGGCAGCAUGGUCUUAGCUUGCUAAGACUGAUGGCGACCGGCGCACGGGUGAGUAACACGUAUCCAACCUGCCGUCUACUCUUGGACAGCCUUCUGAAAGGAAGAUUAAUACAAGAUGGCAUCAUGAGUCCGCAUGUUCACAUGAUUAAAGGUAUUCCGGUAGACGAUGGGGAUGCGUUCCAUUAGAUAGUAGGCGGGGUAACGGCCCACCUAGUCUUCGAUGGAUAGGGGUUCUGAGAGGAAGGUCCCCCACAUUGGAACUGAGACACGGUCCAAACUCCUACGGGAGGCAGCAGUGAGGAAUAUUGGUCAAUGGGCGAGAGCCUGAACCAGCCAAGUAGCGUGAAGGAUGACUGCCCUAUGGGUUGUAAACUUCUUUUAUAAAGGAAUAAAGUCGGGUAUGGAUACCCGUUUGCAUGUACUUUAUGAAUAAGGAUCGGCUAACUCCGUGCCAGCAGCCGCGGUAAUACGGAGGAUCCGAGCGUUAUCCGGAUUUAUUGGGUUUAAAGGGAGCGUAGGCCGGAGAUUAAGCGUGUUGUGAAAUGUAGACGCUCAACGUCUGCACUGCAGCGCGAACUGGUUUCCUUGAGUACGCACAAAGUGGGCGGAAUUCGUGGUGUAGCGGUGAAAUGCUUAGAUAUCACGAAGAACUCCGAUUG
rnacentral:rRNA from 1 species